AAAUGCGAUAAGUAAUGUGAAUUGCAGAAUUCAGUGAAUCAUCGAAUCUUUGAACGCACCUUGCGCUCCUUGGUAUUCCUUGGAGAAUGCCUGUUUGAGUAUCAUGAAAUCUUCAAAGUAAAUCUUUUGUUAACUCAAUUGGUUUCUACUUUGGUAUUGGAGGUCUUUGCAGCUUCACACCUGCUCCUCUUUGUUCAUUAGCUGGAUCUCAGUGUUAUGCUUGGUUCCACUCGGCGUGAUAAGUUAUCUAUCGCUGAGGACACUGUAAAAGGUGGCCAAGGUAAAUGCAGAUGAACCGCUUCUAAUAGUCCAUUGACUUGGACAAUACUUUUAUGAUCUGAUCUCAAAUCAGGUAGGACUACCCGCUGAACUUAAGC
rnacentral:misc_RNA from 1 species